rnacentral:rRNA from 11 species
UGCGGAAGGAUCAUUAA